UCAUCUAAAUUAAAUAGAACUCUCUUCUUCUCAUUUUUUUGUAUUAAAUCUCUCUUCUAUUCUAAUUUUUCAUCUAAAUUAAAUAUAAUUAAGGUCUCUGUGGAAUUGAUACUCACUUACCUUAUCUACAAGUUCUUAUCAAUCAAGAAAAGGGAAGUAAAUUUUAAAUUGACGGAUCGACACCCGUUAAAUUUUGGCGCUGUUGCCGGGGACCUUCAACAAUUUGUUUUUAUUUUUAUGACCAGAUCUGAGAAUAGCAGAAUUCAGUUUGAUCCAGAAAUCG
rnacentral:lncRNA from 1 species